GUGACCACCUGUACCGGUUUUUCCUGAAGAUGUGCCACAGGCUCGUCGGCCCAAAGCGGGUAAAUGACGAGAAUUAAAGCAGAGCUGCAUUCAGACCUGUACGCCGACACGACACACCUAAACCUCGCUGCCCCUUUACUCACGGAGGAGAAAGUGUCGAGGGGGACGCUUUAAAACCGCUCGGAGGUUGUCAGCGGGUGUGUAAAUACCUAUGUUUCGACACGACACCAGACGAGCGCUUGGGCAGUUUCUCUCUCUCAGAUGUUGCAUGAAUGCCGCAGUUUCUGAGCUGCAGUGCACAUUGCUGGGAAUCGUGGCUGAGAUGAGCAGCAGAUUUCAGUCAUUGUUUCUAGUAGUGGGCGCUGCAGAUAUUCAGCUUCGGAGCGCCUUGAAUCAGAUUCACAAUCCUCAGAAGAAAAUGGUCCACGGCGCGCACAUCUACAAUUGUGUGUGUGUGUGUGUGUUUUUUGGCGCCUGAUGGCAGUAGAGCUCAAGGAAAGCGAGGUAGAAUCACAGGAAAGCGCCUCUGUCACAUGUAAGGAUCUGCACCAUUUACACUUGCAAGUAACCGUGAAAAUCUUCGGCAUGUAGGUGAACCUGGCCAGGACUCAGGAGAGGCAGCUGUUGGCAUUCACACUUCCUCAUUCAUGAGUAAUUGAUGCCUUUAUGCAGAAAAUAACCACACCAGAAUUUGCAUUUCUUCAUUUGUAGCCAUUCAUUUGAGGGUUUCUAUGUAAUCGCUGUUGUCUUUGGUUGGGAUGUGACAAAGAGAAGAAACAAAAGUGUUGAAGCUGUGAAUGUGAACUGAUUAUCUAUUCAUGAUGGUUCCAUGUGUUUUUUUUUUUUUUUUUUUACUGUUUUUCAUAAUGGUUUUAAUGACCGUGUUGUAGCCACUGUUAUAACAAGUACACAAAACCAUUAUUUUGAAUAUUUACAAACUUGAGCAAAGAGGUUCAUCAGGGUUGCCUCUGUGAUAUCACUUCCUGUCACAUGACAAUAAAAUGAAAGUGAGGAAAAAAACAAAAACUCUUCCUUUUGUAAAUGACUUUAAAAUAAAAUGCUUAUAUGCCUUGGAAGAAUUAAGACUUUAAAUACUUAGUGAUCAUAAGGCUACUUACUAUUCAAUGACCCUUUGCUUUAUGAAUAAAUAAUUGCAUAAUAAAAUAAAGAAAUAAUAUGGUCCCAAAUCUGCUAGCUCCAGAAAAAUAAUUAAUUUAGGUACAACUUACGACAUGGCUCUUGUGUUUUUUUUUAUUUUUCAUCUAUUUGCUCAAAGUAAGUUUACUAUUUUCUGUAAGAUACCAUUGCAACAAUUUGUAAAUUGUAUUCAGAAGUUGUUGUUGUUUUUGUGUGUGUGUGGUGACUGGUUUACUUAAGGACAAAACAAGCAAAACUAAGCAAAUGAACAAACAAAAAGCAAAUAAAUGCAAUACAAAACCUU